rnacentral:rRNA from 1 species
GACAGAGGUGCCGAGCGUUAGGCGGAAUCACUGGGCUUAAAGCGUGUGUAGGCGGGCGGGCAAGUACCUUGUGAAAUCCCACGGCUCAACCGUGGAACGGCUGGGUAUACUGCCUGUCUUGAGCCAGCUAGGGGCGAGCGGAACAGACGGUGGAGCGGUGAAAUGCGUAGAUAUCGUCUGGAACGCCGAAGGUGAAAACAGCUCGCUGGGGCUGUGCUGACGCUGAGACACGAAAGCCAGGGGAGCGAACGGGG